rnacentral:rRNA from 1 species
CAAUAGCGUAUAUUAAAGUUGUUGCGGUUAAAAGCUCGUAGUUGGAUUUCUGCCGAGGACGACCGGUCCGCCCUCUGGGUGAGCAUCUGGCUCGGCCUUGACAUCUUCUUGGUGAACGUUGCUGCACUUGACUGUGUGGUGCGGUACCCAGGACUUUUACUUUGAGGAAAUUAGAGUGUUUCAAGCAGGCAUACGCCUUGAAUACAUUAGCAUGGAAUAAUAAGAUAGGACCUUGGUUCUAUUUUGUUGGUUUCUAGAACAUACGCAAUGAUUAAUAGGGACAAUUGGGGGCAUUCGUAUUAACGCGUCAGAGGUGGAAUUCUUAGAUUGCGUUACGACGAACUACUGCGAAAGCAUUUGCCAAGGAUGUUUUCAUUGAUCAAGAACGAAAGUAUGGGGAUCGAAGAUGAUCAGAUACCGU